GAUGAACGCUGGCGGCGUGCCUAAUACAUGCAAGUCGAGCGAACGGACGAGAAGCUUGCUUCUCUGAUGUUAGCGGCGGACGGGUGAGUAACACGUGGAUAACCUACCUAUAAGACUGGGAUAACUUCGGGAAACCGGAGCUAAUACCGGAUAAUAUUUUGAACCGCAUGGUUCAAAAGUGAAAGACGGUCUUGCUGUCACUUAUAGAUGGAUCCGCGCUGCAUUAGCUAGUUGGUAAGGUAACGGCUUACCAAGGCAACGAUGCAUAGCCGACCUGAGAGGGUGAUCGGCCACACUGGAACUGAGACACGGUCCAGACUCCUACGGGAGGCAGCAGUAGGGAAUCUUCCGCAAUGGGCGAAAGCCUGACGGAGCAACGCCGCGUGAGUGAUGAAGGUCUUCGGAUCGUAAAACUCUGUUAUUAGGGAAGAACAUAUGUGUAAGUAACUGUGCACAUCUUGACGGUACCAAAUCAGAAAGCCACGGCUAACUACGUGCCAGCAGCCGCGGUAAUACGUAGGUGGCAAGCGUUAUCCGGAAUUAUUGGGCGUAAAGCGCGCGUAGGCGGUUUUUUAAGUCUGAUGUGAAAGCCCACGGCUCAACCGUGGAGGGUCAUUGGAAACUGGAAAACUUGAGUGCAGAAGAGGAAAGUGGAAUUCCAUGUGUAGCGGUGAAAUGCGCAGAGAUAUGGAGGAACACCAGUGGCGAAGGCGACUUUCUGGUCUGUAACUGACGCUGAUGUGCGAAAGCGUGGGGAUCAAACAGGAUUAGAUACCCUGGUAGUCCACGCCGUAAACGAUGAGUGCUAAGUGUUAGGGGGUUUCCGCCCCUUAGUGCUGCAGCUAACGCAUUAAGCACUCCGCCUGGGGAGUACGACCGCAAGGUUGAAACUCAAAGGAAUUGACGGGGACCCGCACAAGCGGUGGAGCAUGUGGUUUAAUUCGAAGCAACGCGAAGAACCUUACCAAAUCUUGACAUCCUUUGACAACUCUAGAGAUAGAGCCUUCCCCUUCGGGGGACAAAGUGACAGGUGGUACAUGGUUGUCGUCAGCUCGUGUCGUGAGAUGUUGGGUUAAGUCCCGCAACGAGCGCAACCCUUAAGCUUAGUUGCCAUCAUUAAGUUGGGCACUCUAAGUUGACUGCCGGUGACAAACCGGAGGAAGGUGGGGAUGACGUCAAAUCAUCAUGCCCCUUAUGAUUUGGGCUACACACGUGCUACAAUGGACAAUACAAAGGGCAGCGAAACCGCGAGGUCAAGCAAAUCCCAUAAAGUUGUUCUCAGUUCGGAUUGUAGUCUGCAACUCGACUACAUGAAGCUGGAAUCGCUAGUAAUCGUAGAUCAGCAUGCUACGGUGAAUACGUUCCCGGGUCU
rnacentral:rRNA from 1 species